AGUGUUAGAAAAAAGCAGUACUACUCGACGGCCAGUAACUCCUAUCACAUCUGAUGAUGAUGAUGCUGCAGAAGCAGGUCCAUCAAAAGAAGUAUGGAGCAGCAGAAGUGGGACUUCUGUAAGACAUCACAACAAAAAACCUGUGGCCGAAAAGAAAGCAAGGUCGUAUGUCCCGGGCCAACCACAGCAGGCUACCCCACCAUGAAGAUUAUCGUCCGUAUGUUCUGUCCCCCCACUCCAAAUUUUGGACACACCUCCAAGACGUCAUCCACACUCCCCUCAUCUUGAUUCUUCUAGUCCUGGGAACAGCAUCCCUCCGCAACAACAGCAACACAGUGACAUGGAGGAGACAAACAUCUUAGAAAUGCAGCCAUUAAUGCAAGGAAUGAGCCCCCCAGCACCUGUGAGUAUGCCACCACAGCAAAGCACACCACCACCACAACACAGCCCAACAACACCAGAAACACAAGGCCCUGAUCAGGUGUUGGUCCAUUUGGGCUAGACAGCAGGCCACUAAUGAAGAUUGCCUGCGUAAGCAGACACAAAUGUUUGCAAGCCUACCAUCUCACCUCAGAAGAAUAUCAAGAAAUCUGAGUAGACAAAAUGAACAAACAACCAGAAUAGGCAAUACCAUGGAACUCAUGCGUACAGACAUUACACAGGUCAUGGACAACUUUCAGCACAUAAUGGAAGAACAGCACAGACAACAGCAAAGUUAUAUGAGCAUUUUUCAAAACAAUCAAAAGAUUAAUGAAAGUUUAUUCCGAAUAGUAAACAAUCAAAAUGCUGCUACACGUGAACUCAAUGCCACCCUCACUAACCUGAAUGAAACACUCAGAUGCAUGCACCAACAGCAAACAAGCAGCAGUUCUGGUACGACUACUCCAAAUAUCACGCCAGUGUCAUCACCACCAAGACGCUCCACCAGAGCACAACAAUAUGACAGUGCUAAAGGUAAAGGGCAGGACACGCAGCCACAAAAAAAACGUGAAAAAAAUUCAAGUUAGACAUUUGUGAUAAGUAACUCAAAAUAGUUAGUAAGUGUAUUUUUGGAUAAAAAUAUAUAACACUUAGCUCCUUGACACUUUUUUCAACAUCAUCAAUUAUAAGUGGUACAAACAAAAAGAUAAAAUUUGUACGCACAUUUAUUCUUUACCAUUUUUUUUGGUAUUGGAGGAGGGAAAUGUUGAUGGAGCCACACAUACAUGUUAGCAGGAAGUAAACUGACCACUUGAUUUUUUUUUCUAAUCAUUACUCUUUCUAGAUUCCAAUCAUUCUCUUUCCCUGCAGACACAAUAGUUGCCAGCCAGGCAGAAUGUCUUUAGCAGGAAGUAAACUGACCACUUGAUUUUUUUCUAAUCAUUACUCUUUCUAGAUUCCAAUCAUUCUCAAUCCCUGCAGACAAUCCAAAUUACAAUGUUAUUGAUACAUAUUUUAGCUUUAUUCUCUAUACAACAUUACAAGAAGAACACAAUUGAGUUGCGUAAAAAGCUUGUAAUAUGUUGGCUUUGUUUUGUUUUAAAAACAUUGACAAAAUGAAUGUCAGUAUUGAUGGGACAUGUUUGUGUGUGUUAAAAAUUAGUAAGAAUGUUUUUACACAUGAUGUUGAAACAAACAAAUAUGUACUUUUACUACAAAAAAAAAAUCAAAGAAUGUGUAUAAUAAUGUAUAUGUGUGGGAAACUGUGUAUUUACUUACCCAUCAUCAAUUUUAUAGCAUCAAACAUUAGGAAAUAAAUUAAUCCAGAUUACAGUAAGUUUGUAUGUCUUAAAUAUGAUGGUGCAUCACACAUAGGGACACAUGUAUUCCUCAAGGCUAACAUAUUAUAUGUUGAGGAGUGUUUUUUGGGAACACAGGUUCUCAAACUCGGCAAUCAGGAACCCACGCAGUGCAUGUUUUGCAGGUCUCCUCACAGAAUCACAAGUGACAUAAUUAGCUCCACCUGUGAACAUUUUAACAUAUGUCUGUGAGUAAUUCAUACACCUGUGCCUCUACUGGGUUACGUGAAAAACAUGCACUGUGUGUGGUCCUGAGGGCCGAGUUUGUGAACCUGUGCAUUAGGGAAUUGCACACAAUGAUAAAGUGAAAUACUAAAUGGAUUAUGUGGCCUUGUAAGAAAUUAGCACUGCAAGUUUACGAUCAGUUAUCCAGACUUAAUG